rnacentral:rRNA from 1 species
GUCUACGGCCAUACCACCCUGAACACACCCUAUCUUAUCCUUCUUGGAAGCUAAGCAGGUUUGGGCCUGGUUAGUAUUUGGAUGGGAGAAUACAAAGUCUUCAGUUUGGAAGGUCUGAUCUGUGACU